rnacentral:ncRNA from 1 species
GACGCGAGUUUGUCACACUUUAAAAAAAUCGGACAUAAAUUCCUCACACUAACGGAAUCGGACGCAUAUUUAUCGAAAUUUUCAUUCGAAGCGUUGCAAUUUAUUGAAAGCAACUCUGUGCUCUCUCUAUUCUCAACAAAUGAAUUUUUUUUUUAUAAGCCAUGUAAAGGAAAAACCAGCAAACGGUUUUUAACGAGAACUUAAAGCCAUUUUACAAGUACACAAAGAAGUUUGACAAAGUGAAAAAUUGCUAAAUAAAUCGAAAAAUUUCCCAAAAAAAAAAAAAAAGGUAGAAAAAAGAGAAAAAAUUGAAUGAAGGAUUGAAUGUUAGAGGUUCGAAGGCGAGCAGAUACCGCCCUAGUUCUAACCAUAAACGAUGCCAGCUAGCAAUUGGGUGUAGCUACUAUUAUGGCUCUCUCAGUCGCUUCCCGGGAAACCAAAGCUUUUGGGCUCCGGGGGAGGUAUGGUUGCAAAGCUGAAACUUAAAGGAAUUGGCCCCACCAGGAGUGGAGCCUGCGGCUUAAUUUGACUCAACACGGGAAAACUUACCAGGUCCGAACAUAAGCGUGUAAGACAGAUUGAUAGCUCUUUCUCGAAUCUAUGGGUGGUGGUGCAUGGCCGUUCUUAGUUCGUGGAGUGAUUUGUAGCAAGAAAUGAAUAAAUGAAUCCGUGAAAGAACUAGUGAGAGAAUGAUUGAAUGCAUGUUUAUUGAAGUAAGCAUCGCUGAAGUGUAUGCUAUUUCCAAUAGGAAGACAAGAAACUAGGACGAGGAAGAAGGUAAUGACAAUAUUUUGGGCUUCAAAGAAGAUUAUUAUUAUUAUUAUUAUUAUUAUUAUUAUGUACUUCGCCUUGCUUUU